UGUGGUUUUGUCAUUUCCCCCAAACAACUAGAGUUUCAAUUUCUCCUUAUCCAAAUGAUAGAUAUUUGACAUUUUUUUUUUUGAUCCGCACCCGCAGUACUCCACACGGUAAUAAAUUUAAUUUCAUUAAACACGCACGCACAAUCAAAACAAAGGAAUGAAUUUCACAAUGUAAACACAUCAGAUGAUAAUGUUAGACAUUAUCUAGAAUUAGACAUUAUCUAGAAUUAAGAUAGUGAUCUGUAAAAUUCAUAGCAUAACAGUUUAUGUUAUUGAGCGGCUGCCGCCAUACUCUCUCUCACGUUAAUGAUAAUAUGAAUUAUCAAUUAUUCCGCUUGAAAGUAUAACAUUUUUCCCUCCCUCAAUUCCGUUGCGUUUUUCCUUAGUGGCUUUUUAAUUUAACAUUUUCUACACAUUCCCUCAAAAAAAUGCUACAUUGAUAUCACUGAUCUUAUUUAGUCCACACAUACCUAUAAUAGUAACAUCCCAUCUCUGUAACUACAAUAACAGUCAAGCAUUAACAGUUAAUAUCAACAGUGUUAAUAUCAGCCCCUCUCUGUUAUGAACAUGCAUACAUUUCGUUCUCUCAUUCGGUUUUCUCCCAUUCCCCUUUAUUCAUAUGGAAUGCUGCCAAGUUGCCUGAAUGAAUGAUGCCAUUGCCGCAUUGCAUUGUGCUGUCUGCCUUGUUUAGUUGUGUUUGAGUAUCUGAGUUGUUGAGGUUGGUUUAGUCGUGGCGCACGCGAUUAAUUUUGUUUUGUUUUGUUGGGAAACCCUAAAUGCCAACGAGAAAACGUUAGAUGUUUACAAGUGUCAAAAUUCGUUUGUUGUUAUUUGAUGAGAUCAAAGAAGGAAAACAAAAUAAGCAACAGAUUGAAAGGAAUAGAAUUGCGGGAUUUGAAGAAAGAUGUGAUUAACAAAAUGCAAUUAUUAAAUGAAAAAUUAAUAGAAAAGGAAAUUAAAAAUCUAAUAUUUAUUCCAGUAUCUGGUGUCACAAAAAAAA
rnacentral:sRNA from 1 species